rnacentral:rRNA from 1 species
UACGUAGGGGGCAAGCGUUGUCCGGAUUUAUUGGGCGUAAAGAGCGUGUAGGCGGCCUGACAAGUCUGCUGUGAAAACUCGAGGCUCAACCUCGAGAUGUCGGCGGAAACUGUCUGGCUAGAGUCCGGAAGAGGAGAGUGGAAUUCCUGGUGUAGCGGUGAAAUGCGCAGAUAUCAGGAAGAACACCUAUGGCGAAGGCAGCUCUCUGGGACGGUACUGACGCUGAGACGCGAAAGCGUGGGGAGCGAACAGG